rnacentral:rRNA from 1 species
UACGGAGGGUGCGAGCGUUGUCCGGAAUCACUGGGCGUAAAGGGCGCGUAGGCGGCCUUCUAAGUCGAACGUGAAAUCCCCGGGCUCAACCCGGGAACUGCGUCGGAUACUGGAUGGCUUGAAUUCGGGAGAGGGAUGCAGAAUUCCAGGUGUAGCGGUGAAAUGCGUAGAUAUCUGGAGGAACACCGGUGGCGAAGGCGGCAUCCUGGACCGGCAUUGACGCUGAGGCGCGAAAGCUAGGGGAGCAAACGGG